AACAAUUAAGAUACAUAUAUUUAUAUAUUUAAUAGAAUGCUCAUAAAUAUAAUUAUAUAUACUCGUAGAUAUUUUGUAAAUAAGACAUAGGCUAGUUUAUCCAAUUUUAUUUUCAUAUUAAGACAUAUUUUUAUAAAUCAUUACAUAAAAUUUAAUUCGGAAUCAUAAUCAAUAAUGAUCAUUGGUAGGACAUAUUUUCGAAUCAUAACAUAUAUAGAAACUCAUAUCAUAGCAUAAUAAAUAAAAAUGAAUAGAAAUGCAGCAUUAAAAAAAAUUAUAAAUAUUUUCAAAAGGGAGGUAAGUUUUUGGGAAGUCUUAUAAGAUUUUUUGUUUAUUAACGAUUUAUUCAAGUUCAAUUGCCUAUUUAAUCAAACUAUAAUUUUCGGUUAGAUUGACACAAGUCAUCUUUAAAACAGAAAUUUCCAAUGAACACAAUUUUAUGUCCAUACAUAAUGUACAUAUAUUACAGCUACAGGUGAUUCCACAUUUUGGAAGAUCGUGAUUUAAGGGAAUUUACAUUUUCCGCUAAACUAGUUUCUAGUUCGGGACCAAAAUUUAAGUGCCGAACACCUCUCAAAUUACCUAAAAAAAAAGUUGAAAAUAAAGGAAGAUGUCUGAACAUGAAAAACUUUUCGCCCGAAACUCGCAAUAGGGGAAAAGUAAAAUUGAAUUUUUCAGUGUGGAAUCUUGUUCACGUGGAACUCACGAUAGGGCUGAUUAAAUCAGUAAAGACUUCAUAUACAUUCCAAGUAAAUUUUUUUCAGUGUGGUAUUAGUAUGACAUAAUAUUUUGAACUUAUUUGCUAAGCUCCAAACAUCAGCAUUUGAUUAAUGGCGUUGUUUUAAUGGGAAAAAGUUAAAAGUUUUUCUCAUUCAAUAUUUGCUUUGUUUGCAAGUUGAAUUACUUCUUCCUUUGAAACUGGAUGACCCUUAAAGGCUUUUUCUACAAGGUAUUUUCGAAAGAUUUGAAGAAACUCCGUUGAAAAAAAAUUAGGUCUUUAUGAUAAAAAGCAGUAUUUUUUAAAAUCAAGGACUCAAAAAAAUAUUACGUGAUUUUGAACACAGAGAAAUUAAAAUUGUUUGCAUGUAGGGACACUAAACAUAGGUAAUCCAACUUUUCCGAGGAAUCCACUCGCGUUUAUUGAAAGUGCUGUCGUCUAGAAUAAUGACAUCAGUUAACUUUUUUGUUAUGUAAAGUUUUUUCAGUUUUCUUAAAGAUCCUUUGAAACCAUCUUGGAAUCGAAACUCAUAAUUAUUCAUUAAUGCGGAGAGUGAAUUAUACAUUUUUUGUCCCUCUCUUUUGUUAAAUUCGGUAUUUUUUUUUCAAAAAUUUACUCAAAUUGUUCAAUUUCUGAUCAAAAAAAUAUCAGUUAAAGUUUAGACGUGCUUUAAUUUUUGCACCUAACAUAAAAUUUAUCUACAAAAUUUAAAAUUUAACAUAAAAACCAUAAACUCACAUGUGAUUUAGAGAACCAUAUCAACUACUAUCAUUCAUUUAAGCGUUUUUCAAAUUGAGAACCAAUUGAAAAAAAUAUUUAUUGAAUUUAUUAUAAUAUCUAUCAUCAGCUAUCAAUAUUAUAUGCUGCUCAAGGUUAUCAUGAAAAUAAAUAAAAGACAAGGAUAUUAGUAAGGUUAGUUUUGCAAGGUGUUAAUAUUGUAAGUAUUUAAGCACAGACAAUAUUUGAUAAAAUCAAGUACGCUUUAUUACAAAAUCAAAGUUUCUUUUUAUAAUUUUGUAUUGUAUGCUUCUUUAUUUUGUAGAAAAUUCCAUCACAAAAUACACACCAUCACAACUUAUAUAAUCACACAACUUAUAUUAUAAAUGUAGUUUCACUUCACUAAUUCUCAGCUUCAUUUCAAUAUUUAACCAAAAUGUUUCAUUAUGAUUUUGUAAAAUAAUAAAUUUUUACUACAGCUAGCUAUCGGCUUAUUUAAGUAAAAUGCAAAGCAAUUUUUUGCAAAAUAAAUUUAAAAAAAUUUCAUAUUAAAAGCAACACUAAGCUUAACAUUUUUGAGUAAAUAAAUACAUUAUAUUGAAAAUAAUAAUUGUAUAUUUAAGAAAAAAUUGAUAUUUGAAAAGUUAUAUAAUGCUAGAAAAGCAAAGCGCCAGGAAUGAUGAAUAGAAAUGCAAUUCAAAGUAAAACAUAGAUUCCUCACAAUAUAAAAAGCACUUUAUCUACUUACAACUCAUUAAUCAUUAAUUUCAUAAAAAGUAAUGAUUAUGACGAUGAUGUGGAAAGUUAAAUUUGAAUUUUUUUCGUAUCUAUCGCUAUCGCCCGCCCAGAUUCAAAAUUCUGUAACAUAAAAAACUAUAAUGUGUAUAAUUUAUUUAAAUCAUCUUUAUUCCAAAAUUCCACCUCAGUGUCUUGUCAGAAAAAAAAAUAAAGAAACAGCACAACCAUGACAUUCAGUUUACCACACACUCACCCACUUUUCUUCAUUAAUUUUUUAAAAUCCUUUUUCUUAAGUUUUUUUAAUUUUAUUUCUUUCACCUACACGAAAAAAAAUCUAAUAAGACAAAUCGAAAGAAUUGUUAUAUUAUAAACCAAACAAUAACCAAAUGCAAGAAAAAAAGACAAAUUAAUUGUGAAAUAUUUUUUUUUGCAUAAAUCAAAAAUAUUUCCAAACAAAAAGUGCUUUUUCACAUACGAUACCACUGGUCUGAUUCAAAUUUUUUCAUCAUGUACCACCAUCGCUCCAUGUUGCAACUCCGCUAUAAUAAUUAAAAAAUAAUUAAACCAUUUUAACAAAAAUAAAACAAACACAAAAAAUCUAUUCGACCAAAAAUUCAACUAAAGAUAAUAUUUUACAAAUCAAUUUUUAUAAAAUUAAAAACACAAUAUAUUGGAAGAACGAACUAAAAUAAAUGAGUUUAUAUUUCUUAUGAAAUAAAUUUUCCUAAAACGAAAAAAUUUAUCAUAAAAAAUAUAAAACAAAAAAAUCAAAAAAAUUUGUUAAUUUGCGACGACGACACGCUGAACCGAAAAAAAAAACAAAAAUCAAAUCAAAAACCAAUCAAUUUUAACCUAAAGCAGAGCAGCAAGAACAACUUUAUAUUUACUUCGCUAUAAUUAUGCAUUACAACGCUCAGCUAAACAAAAAUAAAAUAAAACUUUUUUUAAAUUUAUAUUAAAAUUACUUAUCUUAAAAAAAAUAUAUUUAUACAUAAUACCCUUCUUAUUCAAAUAAUUAAAAUUUUAUUAUAUUUUUUCUAUUAAUAGCAUAUUUUUAAUAAAAAAAUUUUAAAGAAGCUUAAAUUAUAGCAUCACAUAUCUUAUAAUUAGAUUAAUUUUUUGUUGCCCAGUAAACAUGUAUUUAAGUUUUUAUUUUAUUAAACAGCAAAAUUGUAUAUUUUUUCUUUCAAAAUUUUUAAGAAAUGCCUUAUAACGUAGUUCCAUUUUAAUUUUCAUUUUAAUGAUAUUAAAUUCAAUUAAAAUUAUAAAUUGUAAGAUAUUUUCAAUAUCAAAUCACUUUUAAAUAAUGUAUAAAAUAUUAAUUAUUAUUGAUAAAGAAUGUAAUAAAAGCCCAAGGCUUUUUUAUUUCAACUGUGAAAAAUUAUAUUUUUUGGAAACAAAAAAUGAUUUUAAAAUGUGCAUACUUAUUAAGUAUAAAACAUUACAUCAUAAACUGUUAAUUAAUUAGUUAGACUUAAUUAUAAUUACAUUAAAAUAAAAGAAGAACGAAAUACUGUUUGUAAGUUCAAUUGAAGGAACGGAUAAAUAUUGUUGAUGAACGAUGUGAAUAUAAGGUUAAAAACUUUUAAAUUGCAAUUGUUCGGAAAUGAAAGCAAAAUAUAUUUAAGAAAAAUAUUAUAGCAAUCCCAUGAAAAAUCGAA